rnacentral:tRNA from 1 species
AUACGGCCCUUGUCUGUAUUGAUGAAGAUAUCACGGUUUUCGGUGUCGUGUCGGAUGGAAACUUCCGAUGGGAUGGUUCCACGACGUCGGCUGUUUU